ACCGACGCGAUGCGCAACGCAGGGCAGAAGGGCGCAAUCUUUGGUCACGUUUAGCUCCGAUUACGAAACUGGAGUAACUGCUAUAGCAGCACAUCACCAUCUUCCAAGGCUACAUUCUCUGUCGUAUUCCAAGCCAACGUCUACUGCUUCCUGAAUUCAAUCCAGUGAUGGAAAGCAAAUGAGGAAACACCACGUUUAGGAAGCAAACGCGGCGUUGGAGAAAUCUGACAAGGCACAUUUACCAAGCUAGAAAUAGAAGUCAAAAUCUACAGCGUUCAGUUGCUGGCGUCUGUUCUUGGGUUUUAUUAAUGAUAGACCAAAACCGAAACAGUUGUUCACGUUCCCGUAUUGGAAAUGAAUUCCAUCUGCGUCGUUAUGAUAGCGUGUAGUAAACUGAAGCAAAUGAGGAAAAUCUCGUGAGCAAAGGUGGUGACAAAUCUUUCCCCGAUUGCCAGGGUAAUCAGGGACAGGAACAUCAAAUGAAACAAAUGAACGUGCCGUAAAUAAAUCUGUCCAGUACUACUUGAAGUCUCUAGGAAGCACCACAAAAGAAAGGACAUAUUGAUGCUGCCACCCCGAAGGAGGAGCCCAGUUUGUCUUGAAAAUAAAUGAGCAAAUGAACAGUAAUCUAAGCUUAGGCACAAAGUCCAAAGUUUUCAAGUGCAAAAAAUGUAUCAAAGCCCAUCUGGGAAUAGCUCUCCAGAAUAGCUAACCUAGCAUCCGCGGAAGAUUGCACUACACAAGAAGAAUGUAUCUUAAGCCGUGAAAAACCUCGGAGGAUGGGAUGGGAGUGCUUAAAUAGUUUGAAAAGUAUAUUCUAAAUUUACCUUUACUUUGAUUUCUUUUUAUUCACAAAAUUUAUUUUGAAAUUUCAAUCAUCAUUAAAGGGAAAUACAAUGAUUGUAUGUUUAUCAAAAGAGGGCUUAAGGUUAAAAAAAAAAAAAGGUAAGGUUAACAAUUAUUCCAUAGGAUGG